GUGUUCACUUUGAUAGCGCACUUCCUAAAAUUGGAACAAUAUAUUGAAGAUCAGCAUGGCCCCUGUGCAAGAACGACAUGCAAAUUCAUGAAAAGAGGUCUUAU